CUCACGUUCCCGUCUCCUCCCUCAACGCUGCCAUCGGCUGUCUCCUCCCCUUCCCGUCUCCUCCCUCAAGCAAAACCCUUACGCACAUUCUCCUUCCCGUCUGUGGUGACCGGCUUUUUUCUCGGACGAUGGUUUAUUGCAAGAAAAUCAAGGUCAAGGGAGAUUUCAUGCCUAUGGGAGGAUAGUAACCUUGGUAGGGGAGCUGCAUCGAAAGGAUCAAAGCUUGGCGGUGGCGGUGGCAAACGUUGAUCUCUCUAUGCUGUAAGCUAAGAAGAGUAGUAAGCUUUUGAUUGUCUUUCGAAUAGCAAGCCUGAGUAAAAGAUAAUGUUUGUUUAUUUCCAAAAUUUUGAAUGGAUAAAUUAUUGCACUUAUGUUAUAAAUAUCAGAGUUCUGCA